AACCAACAAAAGAAGCACCGGCUAACUCUGUGCCAGCAGCCGCGGUAAUACAGAGGGUGCAAGCGUUAAUCGGAAUUACUGGGCGUAAAGCGCACGUAGGCGGCUUGAUAAGUCGAGUGUGAAAUCCCCGGGCUUAACCUGGGACCUGCAUUCGAAACUGUCUUGCUAGAGUAUGGGAGAGGGAAGUGGAAUUUCAGGUGUAGCGGUGAAAUGCGUAGAUAUCUGAAGGAACAUCAGUGGCGAAAGCGACUUCCUGGACCAAUACUGACGCUCAGGUGCGAAAGCGUGGGGAGCAAACAGGAUUAGAUACCCUGGUAGU
rnacentral:rRNA from 1 species